ensembl:snRNA U12 U12 minor spliceosomal RNA
AUACCUUAUACUUAUGAGGAUGGAAAAUAACAAUUUGGGAUGAUGCCUGAAUCCUCACUGCUAAUUUGAGACAAAUUUUUGAGCAAGUAAAGGCUGCUCUUAAAGCGACACCUUUACUUUGCAGGAUUCAUGGGAGUUGUGAUCUGCCUG